AAAAAAUAAAACUUCUUUUUUUUUUACUUUUGCUCCAAAAAAAUGAAGAAAUCAAAUAUUUUUGCAGCUUCCAUAACUGCAGCUUCUUCUGCAGUUGCUAUUUCUUCUUCAAAUUCUUCAUCCAGAGUUCGAAUUUCUCAUCAUCAGGAUGAAAGUUCAAUGAAGAAGAAGAAGAAUGAAGAAAAUUCAUUGAAGAAAAAUGGAGAAUCAAAAUCUUCUUCAGACAAAUUUGCACCAAAAUUUGAUGGAUUGAGAUUUAUUGAGACUUUGAUUACAGCUCACAGAUAAGUUAACAAGAGGGGAAAAAAAAAGAAAGUAAUUUUUGACAGCUUUAUUAGUGAAAAUAUUAUCUGAGGAAAAAAUGGAAUAUAUGAAGGUGAAAUUGUAUGAUAUUAAUUUUGUUUAUGGGUUUUGUUUUUGCUUAAUUGGUGUUUAAUUAGGCAA
rnacentral:misc_RNA from 1 species